rnacentral:rRNA from 1 species
UAGGGAAUCUUCCGCAAUGGGCGAAAGCCUGACGGAGCAACGCCGCGUGAGUGAUGAAGGUCUUCGGAUCGUAAAACUCUGUUAUCAGGGAAGAACAAAUGUGUAAGUAAAUAUGCACGUCUUGACGGUACCUAAUCAGAAAGCCACGGCUAACUACGUGCCAGCAGCCGCGGCAAUACGUAGGUGGCAAGCGUUAUCCGGAAUUAUUGGGCGUAAAGCGCGCGUAGGCGGUUUUUUAAGUCUGAUGUGAAAGCCCACGGCUCAACCGUGGAGGGUCAUUGGAAACUGGAAAACUUGAGUGCAGAAGAGGAAAGUGGAAUUCCAUGUGUAGCGGUGAAAUGCGCAGAGAUAUGGGGGAACACCAGUGGCGAAGGCGACUGUCUGGUCUGUAACUGACGCUGAUGUGCGAAAGCGUGGGGAUCAAACAGG